GACCCCUUAGCUCAGUGGUAGAGUAUGAGAUUCCAGCAUUUGCAGUGGUGCCAGCUCCCUUUGCCCUUUCCGGGUUUAGGGUAUACUCACUGACUUUGCCGAGGUUCCUCAGGGUCAUCCGUUCAAUCCGGGUAGGGGUCA